GACGAACGCUGGCGGCGUGCCUAAUACAUGCAAGUAGAACGCACAGUUUAUACCGUAGCUUGCUACACCAUAGACUGUGAGUUGCGAACGGGUGAGUAACGCGUAGGUAACCUGCCUGGUAGCGGGGGAUAACUAUUGGAAACGAUAGCUAAUACCGCAUAAUAUUGAUUAUUGCAUGAUAAUUAAUUGAAAGGUGCAAUUGCACCACUACCAGAUGGACCUGCGUUGUAUUAGCUAGUAGGUGAGGUAACGGCUCACCUAGGCGACGAUACAUAGCCGACCUGAGAGGGUGAUCGGCCACACUGGGACUGAGACACGGCCCAGACUCCUACGGGAGGCAGCAGUAGGGAAUCUUCGGCAAUGGACGAAAGUCUGACCGAGCAACGCCGCGUGAGUGAAGAAGGUUUUCGGAUCGUAAAGCUCUGUUGUAAGAGAAGAACGGGUGUGAGAGUGGAAAGUUCACACUGUGACGGUAUCUUACCAGAAAGGGACGGCUAACUACGUA
rnacentral:rRNA from 1 species